rnacentral:lncRNA from 1 species
AGGGACGUCCCGGAAGCGACUGGCUCUUUUUUUCUGGUCGCUGCAGAGUGAGGGUGUGACGGGCCAGCAAGGACAGCAACAGUCGAGGAGAAAGGAGAGAAUGCCAGAGAGAUGGAGCCCAAACCUGAACCCAGGAUCAAAGGGCAACUGAGUAGCACUCGCUCUGGAGUUCUCGGUCGGCUGCGCCGCUGACUUGCCAAAUUUGCCUAAGCCCGUUUGUUGGUGUUUGCAGGUCCUAACUGAUGCGGUGCCAUUUUUCAAGUACAGAAUUGGAUAAGCGUUGGAGACAGGGAGCAGCCAGCAGGUGCAAGCACUUCUGUGGAUCCAGUCCCUUUCCUUCUGAUUCUGUCUCCGUGUACACUUCGUAUCACAAAUCAGGGUCUUGCCCUGGAAAACAUCUCCCGACCCCUCUUGCUGGCCUGGCACCUGCACGGGGCUUAGCUGUGACUCCAUACAGCAUCCCUAGUAAGUGCUCCAGUGCAUGCAAGAUUCAUCCCACACCACAGUCCUUGCGGGCAUCAUUACUGGUGUAAUCAUGGUCAGGUGCAGGAGUCACCUGAGUUCCCAAGACACUUGCUCCAGUUGGCAUUGCACCAAAAUCCAUUACAGGCGUUCUCAGCUCCUGCGCUCCCGCUGACUCAGGCCACCCUCACGGUGAGAAUGCAGCAGACUAGGAUGAUCAGGCAGUGUUUCAAGCCGGCCCUGGACCUGGAGAGGCUGUUGAUGGUGAGGCACAGUGGAGAUGAGCCCAGCUAGGGCAGGGUUGGGAGAGCAGCCUGGCUGAGGGUUGAGAGCAGCCUCAAGCAGCUGGUGUGGUGCAGGCAUAGACUGGCUGUUGUUUGCAUGAGCACCGGCUUUGGAGUCAGUCCCAAGUUCUAGUCCAGAGACUGAAUCUUUUCUAGCUGUGACAUUGAGAGCUCUGCCCUCAUUUCUCUGAGCUUCAGCUUUCUUGCCUGCUAAAUGGGCUUGGUGAUACCCACCUCUCAGGAUGCUGGGGAGAUUAGGAACAGUCUGUAUUAGGGACAAUGCACAGCAGUCACUAUUGUGAUCACCAGGACCAGCCAGGGUGGGGGUGCAGGCCCAUCAGACUAAAGUCAGUGUAAAGCCACCAGCCUCAGACACCCGAUGCUUAGGCCAAUGGCCUGGACCCCACUGAGCAAUGUCAGCCCCAUUGUCUGAGGGAUGUUGAACCUGAUGCUGUCCUACUUAGAAUGAGCUCCUAGAAAGCACCUAGCUCUGCCUCCUCAUGGACAAAUCAGGAGACUGAGCCCCAGAUGUUUGCUCAAUGCCACACAGCAUGGUGGUAGCUGAGCCAGCAUUGGAACCCAGCCUCAUGACUUCAAGCCAUGUGGUCAUCCAAGGACUAAAAAUUAUGUGCUUAAGAGUAUAGGCUUUGGAGCCAGACAGACCUGAGCUCCAGUCCCAGCUCUGCAACUUUCAUUCAUUCAACAAAUACUCGUUGAGUUCUUGUCAUGUGCCAGGCACCAUGCCCAGUGCAACAGACACAGGAGGACAAGACCUACAUGGCCCUGGCCUCUCGCUGCUCAGUCUGGUGAGAAGAAAUACCCAGUGAAUGAACAAGCUCAUCACCCACUGUGAGAAAGCAGCAAGGCACAGACACAGGAUGGGCCCUGAAAGACACAGGGACAGUGGGUGCUGGAGGGCCACUCAGGGCAUUCAGGGAGGGCAUCUCAGGAAGGGGACAUCUGAUCUGGGAACUGGACACCAGGCAAGAGCCAGGUAUGCAGGACCGGAGAAGGGUGUCCAUGCAAAGAGCUCAGAAUGAUGGGGGAAGAAGAGCCUGGAGUGCGCAGGAGCGUGCAGGAGGGACGUGGACAGACAGGGUAGAGCCAGGACAGGUGGGCCUCAGAGGUCAUGGUCAGGAGCACAGUGCUCAUGCACACAGCAGCAGGAGGCACUGGAGGGUUUGAGCAGGUGAGUGAUGGGAUCUGGCCUGUUUUUUCAAACGAUCACACUGGUUGCUGUUGUUUGUGUGACCUUGUUGGCUCUCUGACCUGGGGCAAGUUGCUUAAGCUCUCUAAGCCUCAGUCUCCUCAUCUGUAAAAUGGCGAUGAUCAUAGUACCUACCUCACAGGUGGAACUGGAGACUGACAUAUGACAGUCUACAGAGAGCACUGAGCAAUGUGCAUUUCAGUGCCGAAUAAAGCUUUGCUUUCUUAC